GACGAACGCUGGCGGCGUGCUUAACACAUGCAAGUUGAACGCUGAAGCUUGGUGCUUGCACUGGGUGGAUGAGUGGCGAACGGGUGAGUAAUACGUGAGUAACCUGCCCUUGACUCUGGGAUAAGCCUGGGAAACUGGGUCUAAUACUGGAUACGACAUGUCACCGCAUGGUGGUGUGUGGAAAGGGUUUUACUGGUUUUGGAUGGGCUCACGGCCUAUCAGCUUGUUGGUGGGGUAAUGGCUCACCAAGGCGACGACGGGUAGCCGGCCUGAGAGGGUGACCGGCCACACUGGGACUGAGACACGGCCCAGACUCCUACGGGAGGCAGCAGUGGGGAAUAUUGCACAAUGGGCGGAAGCCUGAUGCAGCGACGCCGCGUGAGGGAUGACGGCCUUCGGGUUGUAAACCUCUUUCAGCACGGAAGAAGCGAAAGUGACGGUACGUGCAGAAGAAGCGCCGGCUAACUACGUG
rnacentral:rRNA from 1 species